UGCUGGCAGUUAUCUUGUGUUCUUGAAGGAAGCAGGCCUGAGGAGGACUCCUCAUACAGAGAGAAACACCGAGAGAUUCACUGAAAAACUGACAUGGGAUCCUGAGGGGCCACUCUUGAAGACUUAUCUCUGCACCUUUCUGGGCACUGUGCAUACAGCAAUGAUCAGCAUGAUUCCAGUGCUCAGAGAGCUCCAAGGAUUAGUUGAGACCAGACAAGAAUAUCAAGGAGGCAUGCAGAAGUUACAAUGGGAAAUCAAAAAGAAGACAAAGGAGGGACACCUAAUUCAGAACGAUGGGUUUGUUGGAUAGGAGAGAAAAGGAGACGAAUGGGCAGGUAUCAUCAAAGAUUCCUAAGAAGAAGUUCCUAACUUCUGUUUUUGUGCCAUUGACUCUUUGGCAGUGUGGAGAAACCCAGGGACCCAUUUUCAGAACAGUGUUUUUAAAUGCAUAAAAUAUUUUGGAUUAAAAGGAAACUCUGAGUAUUGAAAUACCUAACAAAAUAUUUUAAAAGCAAAUUUGUAAUACAGUAAUGUAUAUGCUUCUUUAUUAACUAAUUAAAGAACAAGAUAUAGCAGUCUCUACUGCUGUCUCAAGAGGAUGCUUUGAACUGUUGAUUGGGUAAUGUUUUAACAUAAACGGAACUCUCCACUCCACCGAAAAAGAAAGAAGAGGAAGAAACAGAUUUAUCUGAACAGACUGAGAAGAAAAUUGGAGGUGAAAAGUUGAGUGACUGGGGAGGAUUAAGAGAGGCCCAUCGAGUUGUUUGUUUGCGGAGAUGAGUUAGCAGUAGUAUAAACUUUAAGAAAGAAGAGAUCUGGCCGGGCGC
rnacentral:lncRNA from 1 species